UACGUAGGGUGCAAGCGUUAAUCGGAAUUACUGGGCGUAAAGCGUGCGCAGGCGGUUCGCUAAGACAGAUGUGAAAUCCCCGGGCUUAACCUGGGAACUGCAUUUGUGACUGGCGGGCUAGAGUAUGGCAGAGGGGGGUAGAAUUCCACGUGUAGCGGUGAAAUGCGUAGAGAUGUGGAGGAACACAAUGGCGAAGGCAG
rnacentral:rRNA from 1 species